rnacentral:rRNA from 1 species
AAUCAACGCUGGCGGCGUGCCUAACACAUGCAAGUCGAACGAGAAAGUGGGGGCAACCCUGCGAGUACAGUGGCAGACGGGUGAGUAACACGUGAACAACCUACCCUUGAGUGGGGAAUAACACCGCGAAAGCGGAGCUAAUACCGCAUAACAUCUUGAGCUCGCAUGGGCGAGAGAUCAAAGCCGAAAGGCGCUUGAGGAGGGGUUCGCGGCUGAUUAGCUAGUUGGUGAGGUAACGGCUCACCAAGGCGACGAUCAGUAGCCGGCCUGAGAGGGCGACCGGCCACACUGGAACUGAGACACGGUCCAGACUCCUACGGGAGGCAGCAGUGGGGAAUUUUGGACAAUGGGGGCAACCCUGACGCAGCAACGCCGCGUGAGUGAGGAAGGUUUUCGGACUGUAAAACUCUGUCUUUGGGGACGAUAAUGACGGUACCCAAGGAGGAAGCCACGGCUAACUACGUG